AACGAACGCUGGCGGCAUGCCUAACACAUGCAAGUCGAACGAGACCUUCGGGUCUAGUGGCGCACGGGUGCGUAACGCGUGGGAACCUGCCCUUAGGUUCGGAAUAACUCCCCGAAAGGGGUGCUAAUACCGGAUAAUGUCUUCGGACCAAAGAUUUAUCGCCUUUGGAUGGGCCCGCGUUGGAUUAGCUAGUUGGUAGGGUAAAAGCCUACCAAGGCGACGAUCCAUAGCUGGUCUGAGAGGAUGAUCAGCCACACUGGGACUGAGACACGGCCCAGACUCCUACGGGAGGCAGCAGUGGGGAAUAUUGGAAAAUGGGCGAAAGCAUGAUCCAGCAAGGCCGCGUGAGUGAUGAAGGCCUUAGGGUUGUAAAGCUCUUUUACCCGGGAUGAUAAUGACAGUACCGGGAGAAUAAGCUCCGGCUAACUCCGUG
rnacentral:rRNA from 1 species